UACAGAGGUCUCAAGCGUUUGUUCGGAUUCAUUGGGCGUAAAGGGUGCGUAGGCGGUGCGGCAAGUUGGGAGUGAAAUCUCUGGGCUUAACCCAGAGGCUGCUUUCAAAACUGCUGUGCUUGAGUGUGAGAGAGGCUCGUGGAAUUGCAGGUGUAGCGGUGAAAUGCGUAGAUAUCUGCAGGAACACCCGUGGCGAAAGCGGCGAGCUGGAUCACUACUGACGCUGAGGAACGAAAGCUAGGGGAGCAAACAGG
rnacentral:rRNA from 1 species